AUGACCCGCAGUCCCUCAAUGACGUCGAAGAAGCCCCCAAAGGGAGCUGGUCGAGUUGCGAGCUCAACACUCAACCCGGCACGGAUGGAAAGCGCACUCGGGAGCAGCCCGACUGGAUUCGAACCCGGGAACCUCCGUUCCGGAAUCCGGCGCUGAUGUCACUGCGCCACCAGCCGACAAGAUAACAAGAACCAUGCAUACGCUUGAAACCUUGGGUUGCUAAGAGGCUGCGUCAGAGCUGUAACUUGGCAGGAAUAAUCAAUAUUAAGAACUGGAAAAAUCCACCUCAGAUGAAUGUGAACCGUUGCUGAAAGGACAUCAUGAAGCUGCAGACUACAAGGGGCUU